GUGAAGUACUGACAAAAUGCUCGUGUCACAGUAAGUCUGCUUGCUCGCUGACUUAUCUCCAUAGGCGCACCACUGCUCUUAUAGACGCUGUCCCGAUCACAUCUAGAAAACCAAGAAAUCCUUUUAACACGAAGGAGGGAAAGUGGUUCUCACGAUUCUAUCAUACCAAACAUGAACUCCCGCUUCGUGCUGUUAUUAGCGCUUGUCUGCCUUGCUGCGACCGGUCCAGUGGCUGCCAAUGGGGCUUUGAAUUGCCAACAGCGUUGUUCCGACCAUAAGAGUAUAUGCGACGGGUUCUGUAGAGGUCCAGAGGAAUGCCGAGUAUGUGUACAGGUUCACAGUACGUGCAUGUCCAACUGCUAGCGGACAACUCCGUCAAAGUUAAAAAAAAGUUAACAGCGUGUAACCAGCUAAAAUAUAAUGUCUAUAAACAUACGAAAAGUCAUGGUAGUGUUAUCGUGUAAUCCUUAAACAUAAAAAAACGCGUAAUAAAAUACACUGAAAUGUU